UGAUGAUGAUGGUGAUGAUGAUGGUGAUGAUUAUGAUGAUGAUGAUGUAUGUAAGUUACGCUGAAAAUGAAAAUGAUCAUGAAAUUUAUCAAAAUAAUUAAUGCGAAAUGUCAUCAUCAUCAUCAUCAUCAUCAUCAUCAUCCUCAUCA
rnacentral:pre_miRNA from 1 species